ACUUCCUGGCUGUGCUUUAGCAGUGAGUGACUGAACAGAGUCUUCUCUGCAUUGUCGUGAUCAUAGCAAUGUGAACUUUAACGAGCACCUGCAAAAUCGUGUAGCAGCUGCAGGGCUGCUCCAACCUCCCCGAGGGUCUGCUGCCUUGCCAACCACACUUGGCUGAUUCCAGUGGACCUGGAAACUCUUGUUUCAAGAUAAAAUGCUUGGGCGUGAUGCCUCCCAUGAGCAACUCUGCCUGCAGUGUCCAUCCCAUCAGCAGGGAGGGAAUCGUGGGGCACCCAGAAGCUCAGCAAUGACGGAGUAUGGCUGGGCAGGCCUGAAACCUUUGAGUGUGGAAUUUGUUUCUUCCCAGCAAGAAAGUCCAAGAGUAGGUCGGUGUCUGUUCUGCCUGUGUCUCUCUGCGGUCAGAACAUGUAGCAGAGUCCUUUGUAGAUCUCAAGUACCUUGUAAAAAAUUAUAUUUGUUUCCCUGAAAACCCU
rnacentral:lncRNA from 1 species